rnacentral:rRNA from 1 species
UAGGGAAUCUUCCGCAAUGGGCGAAAGCCUGACGGAGCAACGCCGCGUGAGUGAUGAAGGUCUUCGGAUCGUAAAACUCUGUUAUUAGGGAAGAACAAAUGUGUAAGUAACUAUGCACGUCUUGACGGUACCUAAUCAGAAAGCCACGGCUAACUACGUGCCAGCAGCCGCGGUAAUACGUAGGUGGCAAGCGUUAUCCGGAAUUAUUGGGCGUAAAGCGUGCGUAGGCGGUUUUUUAAGUCUGAUGUGAAAGCCCACGGCUCAACCGUGGAUGGUCAUUGGAAACUGGAAAACUUGAGUGCAGAAGAGGAAAGUGGAAUUCCAUGUGUAGCGGUGAAGUGCGCAGAGAUAUGGAGGCACACCAGUGACGAAGGCGACUUUCUGGUCUGUAACUGACGCUGAUGUGCGAAAGCGUGGGGAUCAAACAGG